UGAUUAUCCUUUUCUUUCUUUUUUCCUUUUUUUUGGUUUUUUUAUGGCUAUUAUCAUACUGUUUAUUGAACAAAUUUAUUAUUCUUUUUUUUUAUGAUUUAUGCUAUUGACGAUCCUUUCUUGACUUCGCUCAACAAGUGUUCGACAAAAUGUCACAGUAAGGUUGAGACUAAUACGAGGCGCAAACAUACUUCCACAGGAUGCAUCUUCAGGAGAUUGGAAUGGAGAAGUGAAAACAUCUUUUUUCUAAUUUUCUCAGUAUCAUUUAAUAAUCAUCAUAUUUAGGCACUCAUGUAUUAUGGAUAUUGAACUGUAGUUUGAUAUAAUAUUUUAGAUAUUGAAUGAAUUAAAGAGUGUGAUUUUCUGUAUUAA